rnacentral:tRNA from 1 species
ACCUGGUUAGCUCAGUUGGUAGAGUGCACAACUCUUGAUCUUGGGGUUGUGGGUUCAAGCCCUAUGUUGGGUG